UACGGAGGGUGCAAGCGUUACUCGGAAUCACUGGGCGUAAAGAGCGCGUAGGCGGUGUUGUAAGUCAUUAGUCAAAGACUAGAGCUCAACUUUAGUAAGGCUAGUGAUACUAUAAUACUAGAGUAUCAGAGAGGAUUGCAGAAUUCCUGGUGUAGCGGUGAAAUGCGUAGAUAUCAGGAGGAAUACCGUUAGCGAAGGCGGCAAUCUGGCUGGAAACUGACGCUGAGGCACGAAAGUGUGGGGAGCAAACAGG
rnacentral:rRNA from 1 species